GAGGGUAUAGCUCAAGUGGUAGACCAUAUGCUUAGCAUGCACAAGGUCCUGGGUUCAAUCCCCAGUACCUCCU
rnacentral:tRNA from 1 species